rnacentral:rRNA from 1 species
UACGUAGGGGGCGAGCGUUGUCCGGAUUUAUUGGGCGUAAAGAGCGUGUAGGCGGUUCGGUAAGUCUGUCGUGAAAUCCUGAGGCUCAACCUCGGGCGUGCGAUGGAUACUGCCGGGCUAGAGGGUGGUAGAGGCGAGUGGAAUUCCCGGUGUAGCGGUGAAAUGCGUAGAUAUCGAGAGGAACACCUGCGGCGAAGGCGGGUUGCUGGGCCGACACUGACGCUGAGGCGCGAAAGCUAGGGGAGCGAACGGG